AAUGAACGCUGGCGGCGUGCCUAAUACAUGCAAGUCGAGCGAAUGGAUGAGAGCUUGCUCUCAGAAGUUAGCGGCGGACGGGUGAGUAACACGUGGGUAACCUGCCCUUAAGACUGGGAUAACAUCGAGAAAUCGGUGCUAAUACCGGAUAAUUUAUUUGACCGCAUGGUCGAAUAAUGAAAGGUGGCGUAAGCUACCACUUAUGGAUGGACCCUCGGCGUAUUAGCUAGUUGGUGAGGUAAUGGCUCACCAAGGCAACGAUACGUAGCCGACCUGAGAGGGUGAUCGGCCACACCGGGACUGAGACACGGCCCAGACUCCUACGGGAGGCAGCAGUAGGGAAUCUUCCGCAAUGGACGAAAGUCUGACGGAGCAACGCCGCGUGAGUGAUGAAGGCUUUCGGGUCGUAAAACUCUGUUGUUAGGGAAGAACAAGUACCGUUCGAAUAGGGCGGUACCUUGACGGUACCUAACCAGAAAGCCACGGCUAACUACGUGCCAGCAGCCGCGGUAA
rnacentral:rRNA from 1 species